AACGAACGCUGGCGGCAUGCCUAACACAUGCAAGUCGAACGAUUGCCUUCGGGUGAUAGUGGCGCACGGGUGCGUAACGCGUGGGAAUCUGCCCUUAGGUUCGGAAUAACAGCUGGAAACGGCUGCUAAUACCGGAUGAUAUCGCGAGAUCAAAGAUUUAGCGCCGGAGGAUGAGCCCGCGUUGGAUUAGGUAGUUGGUGGGGUAAAGGCCUACCAAGCCGACGAUCCAGAGCUGGUCUGAGAGGAUGAUCAGCCACACGGGGACUGAGACACGGCCCAGAAGCCGACGGGACGCAGCAGUGGGGAAUGGUGUACAAUGGGCGGAACCCUGAUGCAGCAACGCCGCGUGCGGGAUGACGGCCUUCGGGUUGGAAACCGAUUGCGCCUGGGACGAAGCGUGAGUGACGGUAAUGGGUAAAGAAGCACCGGCUAACUACGUG
rnacentral:rRNA from 1 species